rnacentral:ribozyme from 1 species
UGCAAAGAAGGUAAAGAGAAAUGGUAGAAAUAAGGGAAGAGGAGGAAAGAAACCAAAGAAAUCAGGAUGGUUCUCUGGCUUUUGGUAAUUAUCCAUUUUUAUCAUUUUAUAUCAUUUGCGUGCGAUUUUUGUUUUUUAUUUGUGUGAAUGUGAUCCAAAAAGUGUGG